AUGCUCACUUUGGCAACACAUAUACAAAGAUUGGGAAGAAACAGAGAAGAUUAGCAUGGCCCCUGCACAAGGAUGACAUUAAAAUUUGUGAAGUGUUUAAAAAAAAA